rnacentral:lncRNA from 1 species
CAGAUGCAUGGCCACCACACCCAGGGAAAGUGCUUACCUCAACUGCCAAUUUACGGAGGAUCUCUGUGGAUGGUAAAUCAGAGAAGAGUGUGAAAGGAUUAUGAGCAGGAGAAUGACAUAUUUGGACUAUGUCCCAGAGAGACAACACUGAUGAUAAUGAAUAUAAUCGGCUGAAAGAGAACACCAGAACACUGUUUAGAAGGCAACUAUAACAUCUCAAAUUAGUGACGACUGACAUCUGAACCAUGGAGAAGAUUUUCUAAAAUAAAACUAGUAGGAAUUUGUGACUA